AGGAUGAACGCCUGCGGCGUGCUUAACACAUGCAAGUCGAACGGUGAAAGCGGAGCUUGCUCUGCUGGAUCAGUGGCGAACGGGUGAGUAACACGUGAGCAAUCUGCCCCUGACUCUGGGAUAAGCGCUGGAAACGGCGUCUAAUACCGGAUACGAGCUGCGAAGGCAUCUUCAGCAGCUGGAAAGAACUUCGGUCAGGGAUGAGCUCGCGGCCUAUCAGCUUGUUGGUGAGGUAACGGCUCACCAAGGCGUCGACGGGUAGCCGGCCUGAGAGGGUGACCGGCCACACUGGGACUGAGACACGGCCCAGACUCCUACGGGAGGCAGCAGUGGGGAAUAUUGCACAAUGGGCGCAAGCCUGAUGCAGCAACGCCGCGUGAGGGACGACGGCCUUCGGGUUGUAAACCUCUUUUAGCAGGGAAGAAGCGAAAGUGACGGUACCUGCAGAAAAAGCACCGGCUAACUACGUGCCAGCAGCCGCGGUAAUACGUAGGGUGCAAGCGUUAUCCGGAAUUAUUGGGCGUAAAGAGCUCGUAGGCGGUUUGUCGCGUCUGCUGUGAAAACUGGAGGCUCAACCUCCAGCCUGCAGUGGGUACGGGCAGACUAGAGUGCGGUAGGGGAGAUUGGAAUUCCUGGUGUAGCGGUGGAAUGCGCAGAUAUCAGGAGGAACACCGAUGGCGAAGGCAGAUCUCUGGGCCGUAACUGACGCUGAGGAGCGAAAGGGUGGGGAGCAAACAGGCUUAGAUACCCUGGUAGUCCACCCCGUAAACGUUGGGAACUAGUUGUGGGGUCCAUUCCACGGAUUCCGUGACGCAGCUAACGCAUU
rnacentral:rRNA from 1 species